rnacentral:lncRNA from 1 species
GGGUAUUCAGGCAUAUUUAACUUCACAUACGAAAGCAAAUUAUAUAUCAACAUUUAAUCAUGAUGCAUUAUAUGUGUAGAUAUGGCCAAUUGAAAGUAUAAACAAUAGAGAUACGCAAACCUGUUUGCCAAUUCAAGGUUGAAGGAUUGACCACUUGUGGUAUCGGAAUGAGUUAGGCGGCGGGAAUUGGGCGGCGAUGGCUUCGGGGCGGAUGAGCUGCCUUCAGGGUUUCUUUAUUCUGAAUUCUCCGGGUUGGCAGGGUUCCUAUGCCAAAGUUUCUAUCCGUCCUUCUCUGUUCUCUCUCUUUCUUUUUCCUCAAGGUUUUGUUCCAAGGAAACCUCAGAGUGUUUUGCUUCUCUUCCUUCUUUCUCCAGUGAAU